rnacentral:rRNA from 1 species
ACGGAAGGCAGCAGUAGGGAAUAUUGCACAAUGGGGGAAACCCUGAUGUAGCAACGCCACGUGUGGGAAGAAGCAUUUCGGUGUGUAAACCACUGCCGUGAAGGAACAAUGCUGGACCUCGGUCCAGUUGAAUGUACUUUGAAAGGAAGCACCGGCAAACUUCGUGCCAGCAGCCGCGGUAAUACGAGGGGUGCAAGCGUUGUUCGGAAUCACUGGGCGUAAAGGGAGCGCAGGCGGAGAUGCAAGCAGUCUGUACAAUACCGGGGCCCAACCCCGGACCUGCAGACUGGACUGUUCCUCUUGGAUAGCUCAGGGGCUGGCGGAAUUCCUGGUGUAGCGGUGGAAUGCGUAGAGAUCAGGAAGAACACCGAUGGCGAAGGCAGCCAGCUGGGGGCUUAUCGACGCUCAUGCUCGAAAGUGCGGGUAGCAAACAGGAUUAGAUACCCUGGUA